CAUUAAAACUUUUUUACUGUUUUGUUUUUGUUACUCCUCAUUGUAGCUUGCUGUUAAUGCUGUACUAACAAUAACAGUUAGCUAUGUUAGCUACGUUAGCCGUUGAUGUUAACGCAAUUUAGUAUCCGGUAUACAGAACUGUUUUCCUAACAAAACCACUGUUAUAAGUAAGUGAAGGUGCUCCCAACUAAUUUGAACCUUUGGCUUCUAACAUAUGUGGUCCUAUUGCGUGCGGCGUACAUAACGUAAUGUCAGCUAGACUGAUUAAAAUUUAUAAUAUUGUUAAUGUCACUAAAAUGGCACCUGAAGCCUGUUGUGACGUGAGCUCUGUGUCUGCUCUAGAAACUCUGAAAUUCAGUAGAUCUGAGCCGUACAUUAAAUACUCACAUCAGCCUGUACUUUGAAUUCUGUAAGAGCUGUAUAAAACACAGCUAUGCAUAAGUGUUUUGAAUGAAUAGAAAUGUGACACAUGAGAAGGUGUGUCUGUGACUGUUCCUGUGUAACUAAUUUUCGGACUAGUUGGCAAGUUAUGCUCCGGUCAUCUGAUGUUACCAAGAUAGAUGUCCAUUUGUAAUAUAGUUAAAUUUUCUUUGUACGUUUCAUUUAUCCACCAUCGUACAUUAAGCCAAGAAGAGGUCUUUAUACUAACAAGAGGUAUCAACGCUGGGCCGAAAUUCAGGACGUGGUUAAAGUUUGUAAUCCAGCCAGGGUGUAAAUAUCACUCAGCAGCCAGUCGCAGAGCUGAAGCAGCUCCAACAAAAUGAGGAAGAGGAGCGGGAGAAAAACAAUUAGAUUGAAUUACAAUUGGAUGGAUGUCGAGGACAAGGAGGAGGAAGCUUAGGAUGAGGAGGAAGAAAAGCAGCAGGAGCAUCUUUGGGGAUCUCUAUGAUCUCAUUGAGAGGCGGCGGCGAGAGGGGAGACCUCGGCUCAUCCAGCUGGACAGCCUGACCAGGAGGAGUCUACAUUAACUCGGCUUUUCCAGGGCACCCUGCAGACUCGGCUGCUGGCAACACUGGGAUGACGUGAACACCAAACUGGAGUCCAUCACAGGUCGACUGCAGCUCCUUGUCUCAGAGUGGGAGGGAUUUGAAGCACAAAGGGAGGAGCUUGUCGUUUGGUUGGCUGAUAUGGAUGUCCACCUGAGUGAGGUUGACCAGCUGACAGGAAACACCUGUGAAAAACUGAAACAACUGCAGGUGUGGGGUUGUUUUGACAUGACAUAUAUUUGAUAUGAUAUAUAUGUCAGUGACAUUGUCCUAAACUGGACUAACAAAGAACCAUGAGUCCAAUUAGGGCUGCUCAAUUAGUCGAAUUUUAAUCUAGAUUACGAUCUGGGCUUUCAACGAUCAUUAAAAAUGACUGAGCCGAUUAUUAGCACCUCCCUCGUGCUUUACUCUCGCGCUGCUCCGUUUGGCAAAUCGAGCACACCUCUCUGCGAUUCGAACACACGUCAUAACAAUUAAGAGGACCCGAGGGAAGCUAAGCAGAAGUUAUUUGGAGAGGAGAGGAUAAUGGCUGCUGAAGAAAGAAUGCCGCUGGUUGAAAAGAGAGGUAA